AUUGAACGCUGGCGGCAUGCUUUACACAUGCAAGUCGAACGGCAGCGCGGGCUUCGGCCUGGCGGCGAGUGGCGAACGGGUGAGUAAUACAUCGGAACGUGCCCAGUAGUGGGGGAUAGCUCGGCGAAAGCCGGAUUAAUACCGCAUACGACCUGAGGGUGAAAGCGGGGGAUCUUCGGACCUCGCGCUAUUGGAGCGGCCGAUGGCAGAUUAGCUAGUUGGUGGGGUAAAGGCCUACCAAGGCGACAAUCUGUAGCUGGUCUGAGAGGACGACCAGCCACACUGGGACUGAGACACGGCCCAGACUCCUACGGGAGGCAGCAGUGGGGAAUUUUGGACAAUGGGCGAAAGCCUGAUCCAGCAAUGCCGCGUGUGUGAUGAAGGCCUUCGGGUUGUAAAGCACUUUUGGCGGGAACGAAAAGGACUGUGCCAAUACCACGGUUCGAUGACGGUACCCGCAGAAUAAGCACCGGCUAACUACGUG
rnacentral:rRNA from 1 species